CAGACCAGCCUGGAGGUUUGCAGAUGAAGACAAUUUAAAACAGCUUAUCCAGUAGAUGUGUGUGUAGGACUGGGGAACAGAUGAAAUCCUUGCCAGAGGAAGUCCAGAUAGUAUUGAGUUUUGCAGGCUUCUUCCCUCCCGAUCUGUCUGCCAUUUUUCUCUGAGGGCUGCUUUCAGAAGUCAGACUUCCCUGUAAAGGAGAGACUGGGCUGUUAUUGCUUCUUAAUCCUUCCCGGGAAAACUUAGAAGU
rnacentral:lncRNA from 1 species